rnacentral:lncRNA from 1 species
AGAAUAAAGAGUUUUUAAUUUAGAACGAAUUCAAUCCGUAACUCUUACUGGAACCGAAAGCUAUGAGUGUCAACAAUGAUGCAAGAAGUUUAAGUAGAAAUUUAAUGCUUGAUCUCAGAGGACAAUUAGAACUAGAAACAAUUGAGAACUAGAACUAGAAUUUUAUUACUCGGCAACCAAUAUCUAUCUACUUGCGUCAAAGUCGAGUAACCAAAACCAAAGCAAUAUGUGCAAUUGUGGACUGCAACAGUAAUAGAUCGAGAACGACAAGAAAAGAAACAAAGAAAAUAAAACCGGCAACUUAACCACCUAAACACCCGAAGCACCUCACUUGGUCGCACUCCGUCGAUCCUUAUAUGGUCAGCUCCACCAGCUUCCAGCUAUCUCCGAUCGAACCCCGACAGUGAGUCUUCAGCUGCUUUGAAUGCAAGAUAACCGUCGAUCUUCACUCCUUCAGCUCUCCGUGUUUACUCCGGUGAAAAGCUCAAGUCUGGAAGGCAGUCGUGACUGGGUUUUUAUAGUUGAUGGUGGCUGAUAAGUCACGCUAGCAGAGGUUUCGACAAAAGAGGCUUCUUUCCUUUCUCUGCUCCGCACCAUCGUGAGGGAAGGCAACAGUAGCGGCGGCAGCUUCUCCUUUUCAUUCUUAGCUCCACAUCACUUACUAGGUUAAGCGAUAGCAGCGGCGACAGCUUCCGAUCAACUGGACUCCAGCUCGGGUUAUCUCCCAAGCUUGUGUAGGCCUAAAAGCCUGCAAUGAAAAAGAGCAACAACAACACUACUAGAGCCCAUUCGGAAGUCGUAUAAGUCAACAGACUAAGACCAAUUAUAUUAAGUAAACAUUUAGUCUUUUUGUAUAAGAUUAUUUCUACUGUCAACGAUAACAAUUGCAUUACCGAUUGUGGAGGAAUUGAAAAGAAAUGGA